rnacentral:rRNA from 1 species
UGGGGAAUCUUGCACAAUGGGGGCAACCCUGAUGCAGCGACGCCGCGUGAGCGAUGAAGCCCUUCGGGGCGUAAAGCUCUUUCGACCGGAACGAUAAUGACGGUACCGGGAGAAGAAGCUGCGGCUAACUACGUGCCAGCAGCCGCGGUAAUACGUAGGCAGCAAGCGUUGUUCGGAGUUACUGGGCGUAAAGAGUGCGUAGGCGGUUUUCUAAGUUCGGUGUGAAAUCUCCCGGCUUAACUGGGAGGGUGCGCCGAAGACUGGGAAGCUGGAGUGUGGGAAAGGCCGGCGAAAUUCCUGGUGUUGCGGUGAAAUGCGUAGAUAUCAGGAGCAACACCGGCGGUGUAGACGGCUUGCUAGACCAUAACUGACGCUGAGGGACGAAAGCGUGGGUAGCAAACA